GGAGAGGUGGCAGAGCGGCUUAAUGCGGCGGUCUCGAAAACCGUUGUGCUCUUUCAGAGCACCGGGGGUUCGAAUCCCCCCCUCUCCG
rnacentral:tRNA from 1 species